GUGCUCUCUUCAGCAGCACUCAUGCUAACACUAGAACAAAAUGGAGCAGAUUAGCACGGCCCCUGUGCAAGGCUGAUACAAAAAUUCACUGAGGGUCCCAUAGUCUUA
rnacentral:snRNA from 1 species